rnacentral:rRNA from 1 species
AAUGUGCCCUUCUCUACGGAAUAGCCACUGGAAACGGUGAGUAAUACCGUAUACGCCCUCAGGGGGAAAGAUUUAUCGGAGAAGGAUCAGCCCGCGUUAGAUUAGGUAGUUGGUGGGGUAACGGCCUACCAAGCCUACGAUCUAUAGCUGGUUUUAGAGGAUGAUCAGCCACACUGGGACUGAGACACGGCCCAGACUCCUACGGGAGGCAGCAGUAGGGAAUCUUGGACAAUGGGGGCAACCCUGAUCCAGCCAUGCCGCGUGAGUGAAGAAGGCCCUAGGGUCGUAAAGCUCUUUCGCCUGUGAUGAUAAUGACAGUAGCAGGUAAAGAAACCCCGGCUAACUCCGUGCCAGCAGCCGCGGUAAUACGGAGGGGGUUAGCGU